UCGAGAUUGUUCUUCUCGGCAGUACACCUACACGCUCCGUCGUCGGUCAUGAGAAGAGCUGCGUGCAUGGCACCCUCGAUCCGUUCAACGAUCCGGUAGCCGGCGUCCUGGUUCCUUCCCGGCAUCCGUCGUACUGGUUCACGCACCAUCGCCGUCGGUCUUUUUCCGGUUUGAGAUAGUGAGCGCCACCUGGGAGGACUCUCCAUGGACAACGCUGCACCAUCGACAGCCUCCUCCAUCGGAUGCAGCAAAAAGCAAGAUUCACAAGUUCAUCUUCUGGAUGCUUUUCAGUACAUCUACUUCCCGUUAUGCAAGUGUGG